UACGUAGGGGGCAAGCGUUGUCCGGAUUUAUUGGGCGUAAAGAGCGUGUAGGCGGUUUUACAGGUCCGCUGUGAAAACUCGAGGCUCAACCUCGAGACGUCGGUUGAAACCGUUUGGCUAGAGUCCGGUAGGGGACCACGGAAUUCCUGGUGUAGCGGUGAAAUGCGCAGAUAUCAGGAGGAACACCGGUGGCGAAGGCGGUGGUCUGGGCCGGUACUGACGCUGAGGAGCGAAAGCGUGGGGAGCGAACAGG
rnacentral:rRNA from 1 species